rnacentral:rRNA from 1 species
GUAGGGAAUAUUGGGCAAUGGAUGCAAGUCUGACCCAGCCAUCCCGCGUGCCGGAAGAAGGCCCUCAGGGUUGUAAACGGCUUUUGACGGUGAAGAACCGACAGGAUGCGUCCUGUUUUGACGGUAGCCGUUGAAUAAGCACCGGCUAACUCCGUGCCAGCAGCCGCGGUAAUACGGAGGGUGCGAGCGUUAUCCGGAAUCACUGGGUUUAAAGGGUACGUAGGUGGUUAAUUAAGUCAGAAGUGAAAGACUGUCGCUCAACGGCGGAUGUGGUAUUGAUACUGGUUAACUUGAAUCAGGUUAGAGUUGGCGGAAUGGGUCAUGUAGCGGUGAAAUGCUUAGAUAUGACUUGGAACACCGAUAGCGAAGGCAGCUGACUGAGCCUUGAUUGACGCUGAGGUACGAAAGCGUGGGGAUCGAACAGGAUUAGAAACCCGAGUAGUCC